GCGGACGGAAAGGGAAGAGGGAGAGA
rnacentral:piRNA from 1 species